UACAGAGGGUGCAAGCGUUAUUCGGAAUUAUUGGGCGUAAAGGGCGCGUAGGCGGCUUGGCAAGUGGAUGGUGAAAUCCCUCGGCUUAACCGAGGAACUGCCAUCCAGACUGCUUUGCUUGAGGCCGGGAGAGGUAAGUGGAAUUCCCAGUGUAGCGGUGAAAUGCGUAGAUAUUGGGAGGAACACCAGUGGCGAAGGCGGCUUACUGGACCGGUUCUGACGCUGAGGCGCGAAAGCGUGGGGAGCAAACGGG
rnacentral:rRNA from 1 species